UAGGGAAUAUUGGGCAUUGGAUGCAAGUCUGACCCAGCCAUGCCGCGUGCCGGAUGAAGGCCCUCGGGGUUGUAAACGGCCUUUAUUCGGGAAGAAGAGCAUGGAUGCGUCUGUGUGUGACGGUACCGAAUGAAUAAUCACCGGCUAACUCCGUGCCAGCAGCCGCGGUAAUACGGAGGGUGCGAGCGUUGUCCGGACCCAUUGGGUUUAAAGGGUGCGUAGGUGGCUUUUUAAGUCAGUGGUGAAAUACAGCCGCUCAACGGUUGAGGUGCCAUUGAUACUGAAGGGCGUGAAACAAGUGGAGGCAGCCGGAAUGGAUGGUGUAGCGGUGAAAAGCAUAGAUAUCAUCCAGAACACCGAUUGCGAAGGCAGGUGGCUACGUUUGAUUUGACACUGAGGCACGAAAGCAUGGGGAGCAAACA
rnacentral:rRNA from 1 species